rnacentral:rRNA from 1 species
GCAUAUCAAUAAGCGGAGGAAAAGAAACCAACCGGGAUUGCCUUAGUAACGGCGAGUGAAGCGGCAAAAGCUCAAAUUUGAAAUCUGGUACCUUCGGUGCCCGAGUUGUAAUUUGGAGAGGGCAACUUUGGGGCCGUUCCUUGUCUAUGUUCCUUGGAACAGGACGUCAUAGAGGGUGAGAAUCCCGUGUGGCGAGGAGUGCGGUUCUUUGUAAAGUGCCUUCGAAGAGUCGAGUUGUUUGGGAAUGCAGCUCUAAGUGGGUGGUAAAUUCCAUCUAAAGCUAAAUAUUGGCGAGAGACCGAUAGCGAACAAGUACAGUGAUGGAAAGAUGAAAGGAACUUUGAAAAGAGAGUGAAAAAGUACGUGAAAUUGUUGAAAGGGAAGGGCAUUUGAUCAGACAUGGUGUUUUGUGCCCUCUGCUCCUUGUGGGUAGGGGAAUCUCGCAUUUCACUGGGCCAGCAUCAGUUUUGGUGGCAGGAUAAAUCCAUAGGAAUGUAGCUUGCCUCGGUAAGUAUUAUAGCCUGUGGGAAUACUGCCAGCUGACUGAGGACUGCGACGUAAGUCAAGGAUGCUGGCAUAAUGGUUAUAUGCCGCCCGUCUUGAAACACGGACC